UACGUAGGGUGCAGGCGUUAAUCGGAAUUACUGGGCGUAAAGCGUGCGCAGGCGGCUUCCUAAGUCAGAUGUGAAAUCCCCGGGCUUAACCUGGGAACUGCGUUUGAAACUGGGAGGCUAGAGUGCGGCAGAGGGAGGUGGAAUUCCACGUGUAGCAGUGAAAUGCGUAGAUAUGUGGAGGAACACCGAUGGCGAAGGCAGCCUCCUGGGCCAGCACUGACGCUCAUGCACGAAAGCGUGGGGAGCAAACAGGAUUAGAAACCCGUGUAGU
rnacentral:rRNA from 1 species